rnacentral:tRNA from 1 species
GCGGGGGUAGCCAAGCUAGGACAACGGCGCGGGACUUAAAAUCCCGCCUCGCAGGAGUUCAUGGGUUCAAAUCCCAUCCCCCGCA